UACGUAGGGGGCAAGCGUUGUCCGGAAUUAUUGGGCGUAAAGAGCGUGUAGGCGGUCCGGUAAGUCAGCUGUGAAAGUCAAGGGCUCAACCCUUGAAAGCCGGUUGAUACUGUCGGGCUAGAGUCCGGAAGAGGCGAGUGGAAUUCCCAGUGUAGUGGUGAAAUACGUAGAGAUUGGGAAGAACACCAGUGGCGAAGGCGGCUAUCUGGACGGUUUCUGACGCUAAGACGCGAAAGCGUGGGGAGCAAACAGG
rnacentral:rRNA from 1 species